rnacentral:rRNA from 1 species
AUUGAACGCUGGCGGAAUGCUUUACACAUGCAAGUCGAACGGUAGAGGGGGCAACCCCUCGAGAGUGGCGAACGGGUGAGUAAUAUAUCGGAACGUGCCCAGUCGUGGGGGAUAACGUAGCGAAAGUUACGCUAAUACCGCAUACGAUCUAAGGAUGAAAGCGGGGGAUCGCAAGACCUCGCGCGAUUGGAGCGGCCGAUAUCAGAUUAGGUUGUUGGUGAGGUAAAAGCUCACCAAGCCUGCGAUCUGUAGCUGGUCUGAGAGGACGACCAGCCACACUGGAACUGAGACACGGUCCAGACUCCUACGGGAGGCAGCAGUGGGGAAUUUUGGACAAUGGACGCAAGUCUGAUCCAGCAAUGCCGCGUGCAGGACGAAGGCCUUCGGGUUGUAAACUGCUUUUGUACGGAACGAAACGGUGAACUCUAAUACGGUUUGCUAAUGACGGUACCGUAAGAAUAAGCACCGGCUAACUACGUGCCAGCAGCCGCAGUAA